rnacentral:rRNA from 1 species
AAGCAGAGACUAAACCUCGUACCUUUUGCAUCAUGACUUAGCCAGUAUGCUUCAAGCAAAGAUUACUUUAGUUUGACACCCCGAAACUGAGGUGAGCUACUCCAAGACAGCCUGCCUGUAGGGCACACCCGUCUCUGUAGCAAAAGAGUGGGAAGAGCUUUGAGUAGAGGUGACAGACCUACCGAACCCAGUAAUAGCUGGUUGCCUGUGAAAUGAAUUUAAGUUCAGCCUCUCGGCUUCUCCAUGUCGACCCAUAGCACCAAACCCUCGAUGCCAAGAACCCGAGAAGGUUAGCCAAAGGGGGAACAGCCCCUUUGAACCAAGACACAACUUUAUUAAGAGGAUAAAGACCAUAGCCCCACUAAAGGUAAAAUAUUCCAGUUGGCCUGAAAGCAGCCACCCUUGAAGAAAGCGUUACAGCUCAAAUAUUAUUACACCCCCAAUCCCGGCAGCACCAUCUUAAUCCCCUAAUCUUACCAGGCCCUUCCAUGCAAACAUGGAAGAGAUUAUGCUAAUAUGAGUAAUUAGAGCGUACACUAGACCCUCUCCACGCACACGUGUAAAUCGGAAUGGACUCCCCACCGAACAUUAACGGCCCCAAACAAAGAGGGAACCGGAGUAUAAACAAACAACAAGAAAACCCCCAACUACCCACCGUUAACCCUACACAGGUGUGCUCCUAAGGAAAGACUAAUAGAAAAAGAAGGAACUCGGCAAACACCCCCAUCACUUCCACCCAAAGCCUCGCCUGUUUACCAAAAACAUCGCCUCUUGAAAAACAAAAAUAAGAGGUCCCGCCUGCCCAGUGAAUCCUUUAUCAACGGCCGCGGUAUUUUGACCGUGCAAAGGUAGCGUAAUCAUUUGUCUUUUAAAUGAAGACCUGUAUGAAUGGCUCGACGAGGGCUAAGCUGUCUCCUUUUUCAGGUCAAUGAAAUUGAUCUCCCCGUGCAAAAGCAGGGAUAUACACAUAAGACGAGAAGACCCUAUGGAGCUUUAGAUGCCACGGCAAGCGUUACCUGCUACUUCCAAACAAAGGAACACCCACUAGCUUCUGCCUCAGCAUCUUCGGUUGGGGUGACCAUGGGGAACAAAAAACCCCCACGAUGCACUGAGAUGUCUAUAAGACCCUGACACAUCCUCUCAAACAAGAGCCGCAGCUCUAAUUAACAGAAUUUCUGACUACCGAUCCGGCAACGCCGAUUAACGAACCAAGUUACCCUAGGGAUAACAGCGCAAUCCCCUUCAAGAGCCCAUAUCGACAAGGGGGCUUACGACCUCGAUGUUGGAUCAGGACAUCCUAAUGGUGUAACCGCUAUUAAGGGUUC